rnacentral:rRNA from 1 species
AGCAGCCGCGGUAAUUCCAGCUCCAAUAGCGUAUAUUAAAGUUGUUGCAGUUAAAAAGCUCGUAGUUGAAUUUCGGGGUUCUACCGUUGGUCGGGCUUUGUCUGUACUGGCGUGUAGAAUUUCUACCUUCUGGGGAACUAUCAUGUUAUUAAUUUAACGUGGUGGGAAACCAGGACCUUUACCUUGAAAAAAUUAGAGUGUUCAAAGCAGGCUUAUGUCUGAAUACAUUAGCAUGGAAUAAUAAAAUAGGACGGUGGUCCUGUUUUGUUGGUUUCUGAAUCACCGUAAUGAUUAAUAGGGAUAGUUAGGGGCAUUAGUAUUCAAUUGUCAGAGGUGAAAUUCUUGGAUUUAG